rnacentral:rRNA from 1 species
UACGUAGGGUGCGAGCGUUGUCCGGAAUUAUUGGGCGUAAAGCGCGUGUAGGCGGCUUUGCAAGUCGGGUGUGAAAGCCCUCAGCUCAACUGAGGAAGUGCGCCCGAAACUGCAGAGCUUGAGUACCGGAGAGGGUGGCGGAAUUCCCCAAGUAGAGGUGAAAUUCGUAGAUAUGGGGAGGAACACCGAUGGCGAAGGCAGCCCCCUGGGUCAACACCUGACGCUCAUGCACGAAAGCGUGGGGAGCAAACAGGAUUAGAAACCCCGAGUA